rnacentral:tRNA from 1 species
GGGCAGGUGGCAGAGCGGUCAAUUGCACUUGGCUGUAAACCAAGCGCCUUUAUGGCUACGGGGGUUCGAAUCCCUCCCUGCCCA